UUUACAAAGGGUUUAGGCCUAAGGAUUUUGAAGAAAAUAUACGCCUCUUCAAAGCCAAUCCAUUAUCCUAAAAAACCUUCAUAGGUAUACAUGAAUGACAUAAAUGUCUACAAAAGUUGAACAAAAGAGGUACAAUCUUUAGGGAAAGGGAAUAAUGUCCAAGUAGGGGAUACUAAUUACUGAAUGCUUCUUUUAUCGGCCUUCGCACUCUUAGCUUCGUCCAUUUCUUACAUUGGUGACAUCCAUUGACGUUCAAACUGUGCCUUAGAUGUAACCUCCCAAAUCGAUUAAUUUCUUUCUUAACCUGCUUCAAUUCUUCUUACGAAAGUAAGCAAAUCAAUCUUUUUCCCAACCCUCAAAGUAUAAUAGAUUGAUUUAGACAGACAUAUAUUUUCUUCAACACAUAAGUAUGAUUUGUCUAUAAUUGACUCGAGGUCAAUAGACACAGGGUAUGUUUUCUAAUGGUCCCAAUACCCCGCUCGAGUAUUGGGUCGUCCUAGGCUCAUGCCUAAAAUAGGGUUUUGGUUUCGUUCUACCCUCGGUGUCUAGAGUGGGUUUGAACACUGGUUCUCAAGCGGACAACUUGAGUUUGAAAAUACGAAUAGCCAUCAGACGACUCACGUGCUAAUAAACUAUUUGUAUUUCCAACACAUUUUUGGAAUUGAUCAAUAGGGGCCGGGAUACCCACGAAACCCCAAAACAGUUUAAAUAAUGUAGGAAUAUGCCAUGAGAUGCUAUAGUUGAGCUUUACAAAAUUGAAACGUAUAAACACAUAAACAGUUAAUCAAAAGAUAAAAUCAAACAUUUGGUUAGAACCUAGUUAAAGAUCCCCAUCAGAGUCUCCAUUUAUAUGUCAACAUUGUUUUGCGAAGAAAUUUUGACUUUUUGAGAGAGAGACGCCACUUAAUUUUAAAAAGGAAUUAAGAAACCUUUAGAGAAUUACUUCAAACGAUUCAAAAUAGGAUAAUUAUUUUAAGUUAGAGAUUCUAGAUUAGCGGUUCCUAUUAACAUUUUAGGAAGGUGUUAGGCAGCUAAAACGUCCGCUAACUUACGGUUAUCCGGACUGUUUGAAAACGUCUUUUGACUAACUUCGGAAAAAGAUUGAUUUGUCGAAAGUGAUUGGUUUUAGAAAAUGAUUUGUGUAAAAUAGAUUUAGGCAACUUAUUAGGGAUUUUAAACUAAGUCUAAAUAAAAUGAAUAAGCAGGUAAACACAUAAAAGGGGAAAGAGAGGAGAAAGUAAACGAUUUAGGCCAUUGGGCCCAAAUCAACGAAACUUGUCCUAGUCUAAUUGGGAUUUUAACCCAUUUCACCUGUCCUAAUCUAGUUUUCGAGCCUUUGGCGCUAAUCUUGCUCCACCUGUAUUAAAUACAACUUUGGCUUCGUGGCCCAAACGAAUGGUGAAUAAAUAAGAAAAAUAAAAUAAAGACAAUAAUACUUAAACAAAUUAAACAACAAAUGAGACUUUAGAGUCUCUUAGCCGCUUCAAAUGUGGGUCUUUAACUCACCUUUCUUCUUCUAACUCCUCGUAUUCAUACACCGCAGGGUCACUUUUAGGUCAUUGGACUGGACUCAGUAAGAUAGGCCUCAUUGGCCCGAUGAGGAAUGCACCGGAGACAGUCCACUUGAACUCUACAGUGGAUUCAUGCAAAACAGGAGAGAUAAAGAAUGUAAAGACAUGAUCAACUAAAAAAAGAAAGGGAAUUGAAGAAUGUAAACACAAAAAUCCGAUCAAGGAAAUAAAUAAGGUACGUAGUACGAGCAUCUGAAGAAAGAAAGCAUAGAGCGACAACUUAUACUCGAUCACAUCUGAAGAAAGAAAGCAUAGAGCGACAACUUAUACUCGAUCACAUCUGAAGAAAGAAAGCAUAGAGCGACAACUUAUACUCGAUCACAGGAGAAAACAAAAAUGUAGGAAAGACUAAUUAGAAGGAAUGGGGGUGCGUUCAUAUAGUAAAAUAGCAUGCUAAGUAAAUGAUAUCUUGAUGCAAACUUUUAUUUGCAUUCAGGCAUAAAUGACAUGCUUGGUGCCCAAGAGCAUAUGAUGAGGGACAACGUAGAUAAUGCAUAACAUACUGUAAUUUUAUUUGAGAGAUGUUCAUGAUCAGAAUAACCUAUGAUGCAUGUUUGGUCACUCCAACAACACCACUAAAGGAAAACUGAUUUCAAAAUUCUAUUUGAGCUAAAUAUAAUAGUCAGCAUAUGGACGAGAUUUUGAAGACAUUUACAUGCUAUUCAAUUCUAUCAAGGAGGAAAACAUUAGGAAGUCAAAGCAUAAAGCACAAAACAGUAGCCUGGAGAACGAGAUCCCCAAUGUUUGACUCAUGAUUCGCAGCCAUAGCUGACUUCUCACCCUUUUGAAGAAAACCAAUUACCUUUCAAUUUUUAGCUUUUUCUGUCACUUAAAAUAAUAACCUCGACAAUGACAACAGAUUAAUUGCACCUGGCCAUAAAAAAAAUAUUUGAAUCGGGAAGAGUGCUUAAGUUACCUGCCGCAUUAGGUCCUGGCAGCAGGUAUUUCAGGAUAAAGACAAACAGUUAUGAUGCGUUGUCCCAUCCCUAAUCCUCUAUUGAAUGUAACAUAAAUGCAACUUCAUCCCUACCUUCUUGAUUAUUGUUGACAAAGAAAGAUCCUUGGGAAUCCUUAGCCUGAACAUAAAUUAUAUGCAGUAUGAUAACAACAAAAUUAGGCUACUGCCCUGAACAGGACACAUACGAAUAUCUAGUACCCCAAAAUAUUACCAUGUUUAUCCUUCUAAUGUGUCUCCCCACUGAGGAUGAACCCAAAGGAAGGAUGCAAGUCUAACAUUCGAGUUUUCAGACGAGACAAAAGACAUAACCCAUUAAACCAAACAGAAACGUAGCAAAGUCUAGUAUCCUCAUCCUCACUUUCUUUUCGACAAACCCAAAAGGAUAAGCUUUUGGUAGCCGAUAUGAUCAUCAAGGAAUCACAAGCUUUUCUAGCCCAUCUUGGCUCUUACUCAUUGUCCCUUUGGCACAUGAGAAGCCAAAGAGACUUGAGAGGAAGCUCUGCUGGCAAUGUUACCAGCUGAGUAGGAAAAUACACGGUCCAAAACUACGUCAAACAGUCACAACGAAUGAGUCAACACAUCACUCUUUUCCUCUCUUCACUUAAAUACUUUAGACUGCAAUAUCAACGAACGAAACCCAAUGACACUUAGAUAAAUAAUAGAACGACCAUCAGAAGAGCAACUCUAGAUGAUAAACCAUCGACCUACGCAACGGUCACUGUUCUUAAUAAGAAACAGGACAAAACUAAUCAGCAAUGUCAAAAUAAGCAAUAGCAACUAAGGCAAAACCAUCAUAACCAGAUAAUACAAACAACAUUGCUUUCACCAAACCUGCGGCCUUUAAGACUUUUUACAGCAAACAACCCAGCCUCAUUCAUCAACAAACAGACAACUAUUACCACGAAGAAAGAGGGAUGAAGAAAAAUCGAUAAGUUAAAAGGGGUAAGAGUAUGUUUACCUCCUUCGGGGCAGUAAAAUGGAACAAACGAGCUAUCAUCACAGUUAUCACCGCUGGGAGCUUGAUGUUGUCGACUUGGGUACUCCCAAUUGAGUGAAUAGCUUCCAGAAAGAAGGGACGAGAAAAUUGCGCGAAAUAAACUCUUUGAUUUUAGAGUUCCUAACCCGACUUUUGAAAAGCUUCGUCUCUCACGGCUCCCGUCUUCCCUGAAUGAAGGCCCUAGAAUUUGCUAGACCAAAAUUCGAACCCCCAAAAAAGAGAAGAGAAAAAAGAACCCUGACCCCCAGGAUCUUCAAACUUUGAUUUUUGAACCCCAAAAGUCGAAAACCCAAUUUCUGAUUCCUAGGACUCCAACCCUAAAAGAGACUCUCAAGCUUAAAACGAAAACCCCAAAUUUUUUCAACCCUUUUAGACUACCAAAAAUCCCACCCCCUUCCCAGCUCAUCAGUGAGCACUUUAUAGAGACCAAUCGAGGGUAAUUUCGGGAUUUUCCAUGGAGGUCAUUUGAAGUUCCAACUAAAGAUGUAAUUUCCAGUUAAUAAUUAGUACCAAAUUCCAAUUUUCAGAGAAAUUGAAAUACGUGGACUAAUACCAUUUCAGAAAAAUGAAUGGUAUUCAAUAACCAAUGAAAAUCCCCCAACUACGUACGAAAUUGUACCAAUCAACCCGUAAGAUCCGCGAUUCGAACGUUGGAAGGGGUUGACGCAUCACUUUUCUAGAAGCUUCUAGGGCUUUAUCUCAUGGACUUGCGCGUGACGUAGUGAGGAAGACCAUGAACGGGUUGGUUGCGGGUUAACGUGGAGCUGGAUGGGUCGGGUUCAUCGAAUUCGAAGCUGUUGACGCGUCGCGAUUUAGGAGCUGUUGAUCGUGAGAUUGUUGUUGAUAUGAGUAUUGUUUGGAAGCUGCAGUAUUGUUGAAGAGAAUAAGAAAUGGGCCGAGUUGGGGUCUUGGUUGGAGAAAUUGUUAUUGUUAGGCCAACUGGGGCGGUUUAUUGGGAUAUUUAGGACGAAAUUGAGGCUGCAGUAUAUUAUUUGGGAGGGAUUCGGCUGGUAACAUUUAAAUGAAAAACAAAUGGGCUAUUGUUAUUAGUUUAAUUGGGUUAAUAAUUGGGGUUAAAAGUUAAAAUAAUCUCGAUUAAAUUUAGAAAAAAUAAACCCCAAUUGGACUAAAGGUUGUUCAAGAAUAA
rnacentral:lncRNA from 1 species